UUCGUGCCAGCAGUUGCGGUCACACAAAUAAUAUAAUUUAAUUUUAUUAGUAUUUAAUUAAUUUAUAAUGAUUUAAUUUUAAAAUAAAGUUUAUAAGGUGAAAUUUUAAAUUUUUUUAAAAUUUUUUAUAUUUAAUGAGGUUGGAAAAUUUAAUUAAUAAACUAGGAUUAGAUACCCUAUUAUUUUAAAUGUAUAAAUAAAUACUAGAUUAGUAUUAGUUAUGUUCUUGAAAAUUAAAAAUUUUGGCGGUAUCUUAGUCUAUUCAGAGGAACCUGUUCUAUAAUUGAUAAUCCACGAUUUAAUUUACUUUUUUUUAGCUUGUAUAUCGUCGUAAUUUGAAUAUUUUAUAAGAAAUUAAAUAUUCAAAAUUUUAAAUUUAAAAGUAAAUCAGAUCAAGGUGCAGCGUAUGAAAAAGAAGAAAUGGGUUACAUUAAAAAUAUUUUGGGAUUAUUAUUUUUAAAAUAAUAUGAAUUUGGAUUUGAAAGUAAAUUUGAUUAAUUAGUCAAAUUGAUUUAAGCUCUAAGAUAUGUACACAUCGCCC
rnacentral:rRNA from 1 species